CAGUCGCCACGGUAAUACAGAGGGUGUGAGCGUUAAUCGGAUUUACUGGGCGUAAAGCGUGCGUAGGCGGCUUUUUAAGUCGGAUGUGAAAUCCCUGAGCUUAACUUAGGAAUUGCAUUCGAUACUGGGAAGCUAGAGUAUGGGAGAGGAUGGUAGAAUUCCAGGUGUAGCGGUGAAAUGCGUAGAGAUCUGGAGGAAUACCGAUGGCGAAGGCAGCCAUCUGGCCUAAUACUGACGCUGAGGUACGAAAGCAUGGGGAGCAAACAGGAUUAGAUACCCCUGUAGUCCCUGUCUCUUAUAC
rnacentral:rRNA from 1 species